GAAGUUGUGGCCUAAUGGUAAGGCGUCGUCGUUGGAGACGGAGGGUUCCAGGUUCGAAACCCGAUUUCA
rnacentral:tRNA from 1 species